CUGAUGGGGGGGGAUAACUACUGGAAACGGUAGCUAAUACCGCAUAACGUCGCAAGACCAAAGAGGGGGACCUUCGGGCCUCUUGCCAUCGGAUGUGCCCAGAUGGGAUUAGCUUGUUGGUGGGGUAACGGCUCACCAAGGCGACGAUCCCUAGCUGGUCUGAGAGGAUGACCAGCCACACUGGAACUGAGACACGGUCCAGACUCCUACGGGAGGCAGCAGUGGGGAAUAUUGCACAAUGGGCGCAAGCCUGAUGCAGCCAUGCCGCGUGUAUGAAGAAGGCCUUCGGGUUGUAAAGUACUUUCAGCGGGGAGGAA
rnacentral:rRNA from 1 species